rnacentral:rRNA from 1 species
GACGUAGGGCGCGAGCGUUGUCCGGAUUUAUUGGGCGUAAAGAGCUCGUAGGCGGCUUGUCGCGUCGUCCGUGAAAACUUGGGGCUCAACCCCAAGCUUGCGGUCGAUACGGGCAGGCUCGAGUUCGGUAGGGGAGACUGGAAUUCCUGGUGUAGCGGUGAAAUGCGCAGAUAUCGGGAGGAACACCGAUGGCGAAGGCAGGUCUCUGGGCCAUAACUGACGCUGAGAAGCGAAAGCAUGGGGAGCGAACAGG